rnacentral:rRNA from 1 species
GUAGGGUGCAAGCGUUAAUCGGAAUUACUGGGCGUAAAGGAUGCGUAGGCGGACAUUUAAGUCAGAUGUGAAAUACCAGAGCUUAACUUGGGUGCUGCAUUUGAAACUGGGUGUCUAGAGUGCAGGAGAGGUAAGUGGAAUUCCUAGUGUAGCGGUGAAAUGCGUAGAGAUUAGGAAGAACACCAGUGGCGAAGGCGACUUACUGGACUGUAACUGACGCUGAGGCAUGAAAGCGUGGGGAGCAAACAGG